GACGAACGCUGGCGGCGUGCUUAACACAUGCAAGUCGAACGGAAAGGCCUGCAGCUUGCUGCGGGUACUCGAGUGGCGAACGGGUGAGUAACACGUGGGUGAUCUGCCUUGCACUUCGGGAUAAGCUUGGGAAACUGGGUCUAAUACCGGAUAGGACAGCUGUUUAGUGUCAGUUGUGGAAAGUUUUUUCGGUGCAAGAUGAGCUUGCGGCCUAUCAGCUUGUUGGUGGGGUAAUGGCCUACCAAGGCGUCGACGGGUAGCCGGCCUGAGAGGGUGUACGGCCACAUUGGGACUGAGAUACGGCCCAGACUCCUACGGGAGGCAGCAGUGGGGAAUAUUGCACAAUGGGCGGAAGCCUGAUGCAGCGACGCCGCGUGGGGGAUGAAGGCCUUCGGGUUGUAAACUCCUUUCGACAGGGACGAAGCGUAAGUGACGGUACCUGUAUAAGAAGCACCGGCUAACUACGUGCCAGCAGCCGCGGUAAUACGUAGGGUGCGAGCGUUGUCCGGAAUUACUGGGCGUAAAGAGCUCGUAGGUGGUUUGUCGCGUCGUCUGUGAAAUUCCGGGGCUUAACUCCGGGCGUGCAGGCGAUACGGGCUGACUUGAGUGCUGUAGGGGAGACUGGAAUUCCUGGUGUAGCGGUGAAAUGCGCAGAUAUCAGGAGGAACACCGAUGGCGAAGGCAGGUCUCUGGGCAGUAACUGACGCUGAGGAGCGAAAGCAUGGGUAGCGAACAGGAUUAGAUACCCUGGUAGUCCAUGCCGUAAACGGUGGGCGCUAGGUGUAGGGGGCUUCCACGUCUUCUGUGCCGUAGCUAACGCAUUAAGCGCCCACGCCUGGGGAGUACGGCCGCAAGGCUA
rnacentral:rRNA from 1 species